ACUCCCCAUUUGUUUUGACAGACUGGAGGUCCCCAGAUGAUCUAGAGAGCCAACUAAUGAGAAGUUGAGGAAUGGCUCCCAAGAACACACUCUACUGACAACUGACCUGAUGAGUUUAACCCCAAAAUGCAGGACCAGACAUAGCAUCAUGAUAGGUCAUGUCCUGAGACUUCUGACAUCAGAACUACAUUUGUAGAGGAGAAAAAAAUGAGUGGCCUGAAUCCUGACUGCUGAGAGAGUCAUGGGAGCACCUGUCACCAUGGAAGGAACUGAAAAGCAGGCAGGAGAGAGGUUUCCCAGAUUCUCUGCUUUCUUGUUCCCUGUGAAAUGUGUCACUUCUUUCAUUUUGAAGAAUCUAGGGAUAUGGCAUUAAAUUGGUACGAAGUGUGAUAGAGUAGAAAGUUGUACAGCGCAAAAUGAAUGCUAUUUCUUCAAGUCUGUUUAACCUUUGGAAUUCUAGCGAGGUGCUGAGAGGUACUGCCAUCACAGCAUGCCUAUCAAUCAGAUAGGUGGAAAAUUACUAUGCUCUCUGGCUAUUUUCUCAGAAAAAGAAUUACAUUGUGUUUUCAUUAAUACCAUAUUCUUUAAGAAAUUGUAAUUAUUCCAGAUGUGAUGUAAAAGCCAUGUGUAUGCAUAUAUACAUACAUAUACACACACCCACACACGCAUAUCACACACAUAUACACGUAUAAACACACCCUAAAAUUUAAACUAAAGUCCUUAGAGAUUGAGAAUUCAUUGAUUGAGUGAUUGAUCUGGUUGAUUAAAUAAAUA